rnacentral:lncRNA from 1 species
GUCAGACAUCACUUGCUCUGUGGGUCUUCGCUAGUGCAGCUAGCACGCAGGCCUGCACUUCAGUGUAGCAGGGGCUCACAGCCCCUCUGAAGGGGGCUUGAAGAGGCAGACCUGUCUGUGAUACAAAUAUGAAAAAUCUUUGAGAGUCUCUGAAGUUCAAAUACUUGGUAGAGUAUUAACAGUUGUUACAGGCAGGAAGAACAACAUCCCAAGAACAGCUCAAGAUACUCUACACUAUUUUCAGCCCCAUUUUACAAAUGAGGAAACUCGCUUUGUGUUUUUAAAAAAAGAUUCCAUAUAGGCUUGCCCUAUAUGCACGGACCACUAGAAGGACUGGCAAAAACGUUAAGCACGCUGUCCUCAGGAACUGGGUUCUAGAGUUUUAACGCGGAGACAAGGCACUUGAUGCCGAAUGUCCUCGUAGAUAUUCAUACAGCGUGCGCAUCAUGUUUUUUUAAAUUAAAAUCUCAUUUAAUAAUCAAGGCUGUUUUCACAGCAAGAAAGGGGCAUUCAAGUUGCGGACACCUCGAAGAGUGACUUCCCGCCCCAGAGCGUCCCGACCUGAGCCUGACCCUACCAGUGAAGUAUCCAAGUAGAUACCGCUUUGAACCAUCCUGGGUUCUCCGGGAAGAGAAAAAAAAAAGGGGGGGGGGCGUGUUUUAUUACAGAUCACCACCUGGCCCUGUGAGAAGUUAAAGUCUGGAAACGCUGCCCAAAUUUAAGGCAGGUAAAGACGUGCCUGAUCUCAUUGAUACAGCCCCAGCUGACCCAAUACUGCUUGGCCUGGCCCACUUGAACCAGAUCGUACAGCCGGACAGCGCUAGAAAACCCCUGCCCGGCCCCAGGGCCGGGCCCCCACCCUGAAUCCAAACCGCGAGGCCACGAGCCCCAGGCACGGACGCUCGAUCCGCCUCCGCCCAUUCUAAGGCCACUAAGCCGCGCAUCCCGGAGCACGCAGGGAGGCCAACAGCAUCACCGGCGACGUCCGAGGACCCAAUGGAAACCGAGGCUCCAGCCCCGCCCUUCGUCAGCGCCCGGUGGUCGGAGCGGGCGGCCUCCGGUGGGCGGGGCGGGCAGCUCCGGCUACCCUCCCUGGGCAGUUUAGAAUUUGAUGUGGGGAGUUGCUUACGGUCUGGUUCCAAAGAUUCGCUUUUAAAUCAGAUCAUUUCCUGGGUACAACAGCAUACCUCCUUUAUUCAUUUCAGUAUAGUGAAGGUUUCCGCAAACAUUUUUCCAAUGAUGAUUUGAUAAACAUAUACAUUAUGGAAUUAUUACGACGAGUUCCAUUAAACACUUUUUAAAACGUUGUUUUAAUGACUGCAUAAUAAACCAAUGCAUGGGUAUAUUCAGUUGUCUCCUUUUGGGCAAGUAGGUUGUUUCCAAAUUUUCACUAACAUAAUAAUUACCUGAAAGUUGUUCACUCCACUUCCUCAGAAUGACUACAGGGGGUUACAUGGAGAUAAAUAUCUAUUCCCCUGAGACUGCAUUUCCCAUGCAAACAUUUNNNNNNNNNNNNNNNNNNNNNNNNNNNNNNNNNNNNNNNNNNNNNNNNNNNNNNNNNNNNNNNNNNNNNNNNNNNNNNNNNNNNNNNNNNNNNNNNNNAGUUGUCCAUUUGUAUUCUUUGUUUUGUAUUAGGCUGUUGGUGUUUCUUCAUUUUCUAAAGCUUCUUUGAAUAGCCUGCUGUAAUUUCUACCUUGGAACCUGAUCAGGUAGCAUUUCUAAAGGAAACUGAAUAUAAAACUUAUAAUAAUCACAUCCAGUUUCUUCACUUUAAUCAUUAAAGCUAUUAUGACCCUGAAUAAAGAAGUCCUUUUAGCACUGAACACUAACCAACUUGGGUAGAACACAGAAUUUUGGCUGCUUUUUCCACAUAUCCUGGUUCUGUGUCUACUUGGACUUUUAACAAUUCUAAAUACUUAAUAUGCUUUUUUAAACACUUAGGCUCUUUGUUAAUGACAAAGUAAGACUGCAGUGGUGUUACAUUUUAUAUGAAAUUGUCCUAUAAAAAGUGGUGGGUCGUCUAUUUGACAUCUUGUGUUGAAGCAAAGUUGAUUUCAAAAUGUUCAUGGCCAGAUUAAAUUUAUCCAAAUGUGGUGCUCAUGAUAAGAGGAUAUAUGUAUUUUUAAAACAUACAUGGCUUAAUGGAAUCUGAACUCUUUCCACAAAUAAGGUGCUAUUUGUUCGUAUGUUUCCUAUCUCCUAUCAUUAGCAUAUACACUUUUCUUGAAAACAUUUUAUUUGGGCACACAUCUUGAAGACUGAGGACUGUUUUUUGAAACUAUUGAGAGUUUUGAUAAACAGAACAUCAUGCUGAAUACACUGUAUGUGUAAAAAUCCCUUGCUUAAAGUUGUUUUCAUCCAUCAAUGAACAUGUGAAGUUGGAAUCCCCAUGCACUGCUGGUGGGAAUGGAAAAUGGUGUGGUUGUCAUGGAAAAUAAGUUGGGGGUUCCUCAAAAAGUUAAACACAGAAUUACCAUAUGGUCUAGCAAUUCUACUUCUAGAUACAUACCCCAAAGAAAUGAAAGUACGGACUCAGAUUCUCGUACACCAGUAUUCAUAGCAGUUACUGGCAGACCGAUACCAGGAGAGCACAGAGGUGAGAGAUGGUAGGGAUGUGGCCAGGUAGUAGGGCUGGAAUGCUGGACUUUAAUAGGAAGCCCCCCCUCAGGUCCCCCCAGCACCUUAGAAACCACACUUCUCAGUAUUCACUUUUGGAUUCACACAAAACAAGACAUGGAACAUCUAGGAUGCUACUGAUACUUAAUCAUACCCUCCCUAGUUCCCAUUUGAUGUUUACCUGAUCUGACAGGAGACAGCUCUGUUCUGUAGUGGCAGAGGCGUGUGGCCAGCACAGAGCUAAGUUAUGGAGGUUCAAUCCUAGCUGUCUUGUUCUCCCUGUGUGAUCUUGGGUAAGCUAGCCAACCUCCCUCUGCCUCAGUCUCCUCAUUCAUAUAAUGGGGGUAAUAAUACUACCCCCUCAGAGUUUUGUGAGUAGUGACUAACAUCAGUAAUGGGGGAAUGGUGUAGUAGUGGCCCACCUUCUGUAACCAUGAAGCACGCUCUGUUAUUAUCCUGAGACUUGAGACCAGUUUGGGUGAAGUUGCUGGGAGGAGAUCUGUUUGCAGGAGGAAGUCAGGGCCCCUGGUGAGGGAGGGGAAGAGACUCCCAGUCUGGAGAGAGACUAAACUCUCAGGGCAUGCACCUGGCCCUGAGGCCAACCUCCAGAAACUGGGAUGACUUCUGGAAAUCCUCCUGAGAAGAACAACUGUGGGAUACACUUCCUAGUGCACCUGGAGGGAGGAAGAGCCCACGAGUGUGUGAGGAGGGCAGGGAACCGGCAGAGUCUCAUGUUUUUUUCAGCUNNNNNNNNNNNNNNNNNNNNNNNNNNNNNNNNNNNNNNNNNNNNNNNNNNNNNNNNNNNNNNNNNNNNNNNNNNNNNNNNNNNNNNNNNNNNNNNNNNNUGAGGAGGGCAGGGAACCGGCAGAGUCUCAUGUUUUUUUCAGCUGCAGUAGAAAGCAGAGAUUGUACCUUAGCUACAAAUCAGAAGCUAGAAAGUAGGGCGGAACAGAUGGUGGAACUGCUUAUCUUGUUUGGGCUUCACUGUGAAUAGCGGCUGACCCAUUUCCCCAAGGUCACAGGCUUCUGUGCUGACUGCACCCAGGCAGGGCAGGUGGGCACAGUGCCAGGGGGCAGGGAGGGCGUGUGACAUGUGCCCCGUGUGGAGGAAGCGUCGGGCCAUGGCAAGCCGAGCUCAGUCUUCUGCCACACGGCCUCCAGUCUCCCUGGUCCUGGGCUCCUUCCACUAGUGACACUGUGAUCAUCAGGGCGAGGCCUCCCGCUCUGAGCGCUUAUAGUCCUAAACAUGGAAACUGAAGGAUGAAAGUUAUUUUCAAUGGCUUCCAUUCCUCCUGCCCUAACUACAUGGAAAAGAGGCUGCUGCCUAAGGCGCCCUUGCCUGGACCCUGGCACCCGGGCCCUGCUACCGGGUCCACACUACGUCCCAGCCGCUUCAGGCAGAUGUUUUCCAGACGGGUAGAGACAGUAAGAGAGGGCUUGUUCUAGACGAGGACCGUGCAGAGAUCUGCCUCGUUUCUGGACGUUGUCUACACUGUGCAAACUGAACCAGAAGACACAGGAUGAGAGGUCGGCCCAGGAUAUGUUGGGCCUCUGGGACAAAUGAAGACAAAGGGAGGUUAGGAGCGGCGACGUGAAGCCUCCGGAAUGGGGCGGUGGCGGCCCAGGCCCCGGGAUCGCCUACGGACAGCCGAAGGCUCGCACACCCCGGGAAGCGGUGGCCCGAGCGCGAAGCUCGCGGGCUCUCAGAGCAC